AUUGAACGCUGGCGGCGUGCUUAACACAUGCAAGUCGAACGAAGUGGCGAACGGGUGAGUAACGCGUAAUCAACCUGCCCUUCAGAGGGGGACAACAGUUGGAAACGACUGCUAAUACCGCAUACUGAAGGAGGGGAUUGCGUCUGAUUAGCUAGUUGGAGGGGUAACGGCCCACCAAGGCGAUGAUCAGUAGCCGGGCUUAGAGGAGGAACGGCCAAAUUGGGACUGAGACACGGCCCAGACUCCUACGGGAGGCAGCAGUGGGGAAUCUUCCGAAAUGGACGAAAGUCUGACGGAGCAACGCCGCGUGAGUGAUGACGGCCUUCGGGUUGUAAAGCUCUGUUAAUCGGGACGCGGUACCGGAAUAGAAAGCCACGGCUAACUACGUGCCAGCAGCCGCGGUAAUAC
rnacentral:rRNA from 1 species